rnacentral:rRNA from 1 species
AGUGAACGCUGGCGGUAGGCCUAACACAUGCAAGUCGAACGGCAGCACAGUAAGAGCUUGCUCUUACGGGUGGCGAGUGGCGGACGGGUGAGGAAUACAUCGGAAUCUACUUUUUCGUGGGGGAUAACGUAGGGAAACUUACGCUAAUACCGCAUACGACCUACGGGUGAAAGCAGGGGAUCUUCGGACCUUGCGCGAUUGAAUGAGCCGAUGUCGGAUUAGCUAGUUGGCGGGGUAAAGGCCCACCAAGGCGACGAUCCGUAGCUGGUCUGAGAGGAUGAUCAGCCACACUGGAACUGAGACACGGUCCAGACUCCUACGGGAGGCAGCAGUGGGGAAUAUUGGACAAUGGGCGCAAGCCUGAUCCAGCCAUACCGCGUGGGUGAAGAAGGCCUUCGGGUUGUAAAGCCCUUUUGUUGGGAAAGAAAAGCAGCAGGUUAAUACCCCGCUGUUCUGACGGUACCCAAAGAAUAAGCACCUGCUAACUUCGUG